UACGUAGGGUGCGAGCGUUGUCCGGAAUUAUUGGGCGUAAAGAGCUCGUAGGCGGUGUGUCACGUCGUUCGUGAAAACCUGCAGCUUAACUGUGGGCGUGCGGUCGAUACGGGCAUCACUGGAGUUCGGCAGGGGAGACUGGAAUUCCUGGUGUAGCGGUGAAAUGCGCAGAUAUCAGGAGGAACACCGGUGGCGAAGGCGGGUCUCUGGGCCGAUACUGACGCUGAGGAGCGAAAGCCAGGGGAGCAAACGGG
rnacentral:rRNA from 1 species